UUUGUCGGGGGCUUCCAAAGACGAGCUAAGUGCCCAAUAAGACUCUUAAACACAGUGUCAGACUGUAUCACAGCGGCAAAUAUAUACUACAUAUGAUUUUACUAUGCACACCUACACGUAACAUUCUAAUAAAGCUAAAAGCAUUAACAUUACAGAUAUCACCAUAUCAUAGAACAGAACAGGUAAAACCUACAACAGAAUUCUUGGAGAUUUAAAGAACUUAACUAAUACAUCAAUGUGUUUUAUUGCCAUCAUCCAUCACUAGAGAAAAAGAACGGCAGUAGCCAUG
rnacentral:lncRNA from 10 species